UACGUAGGGAGCAAGCGUUGUUCGGAUUUACUGGGCGUAAAGGGCGCGUAGGCGGCAUAUUAAGUCAUCUGUGAAAUCUCCGAGCUUAACUCGGAACUGUCAGCUGAUACUGAUGUGCUAGAGUGCGGAAGGGGCAAUCGGAAUUCUUGGUGUAGCGGUGAAAUGCGUAGAUAUCAAGAGGAACACCUGAGGUGAAGACGGGUUGCUGGGCCGACACUGACGCUGGAGUGCGCGAAAGCCAGGGGAGCAAACGGG
rnacentral:rRNA from 1 species